CUGGGAUUUAUACUCCUACUGGGCAGCCCUUACCAAUGACUGGUACAGAAGUGCGAAAGCCCAACUUCUUUGCUUUGAAUUGGGGCAAAUGCCAAGGUGUACUUUCUACUCCAGAGCUCCCUUCAGGAUCCAGCUGAGGCUUGGGCUUGCUCUCCUCUUCUUCUCUGUUCUGCUCCACCUCCCCCUGCCCCCCACCGAUGCCCCUGGGAGCACUUCUUUAAUCAAUUGCUUGCACACAAAUCGUUAGCUCCUUCUGGGGGACCUGCCGUAUCACCAGGGCUCGAACAUCACAGCUGCUCUGUAAAUAUUUGUUGCCUGAGUGAAUGAAUACAUGAAUGGAUGAACAAGCUGAGGAAAUCACAGGCAGGUGGAAUCCGAACAGGUUAUUAUACUAAUUACGGGCUGUCUACUUUUUUUUCCCUCCACCUCUGUCAAACAGGUUGGCCCCUUGGGGAAUUUCCCCAAAGCUUUUGAAGUAGACAGGGUAUCUUCUCACCAGUUUCCUGUGCUUCCUAAUUGGGCAAGCCAUUAGAAGAUCUCCUGUGUGUGUCAGAGGAUCCUACGAGUAAGAAAGGUGGAAGGAUCAUUACUGACUAUGGAUAAAAAAAACCUUCAGAGCUGGACACAUAUAGAUAUGGCUUUGCUGUUUAUCACCUAUGAGAUCCCAAGCAGCUGCCACUUCCCGAAUCCCAGGGUUUGGUGUCUGUGCCUCGUGCCACGCGCUUGUCUCAUCUUUGCCUCUGCUUCCUGAUGGACGGACACUGUUACAAAAGAUGGAUGAGUUUGAAGCUGAAGUCACGCAGUGUUCUGCCAGCAUCAGGAGGGAUUCAUGCCUGGGACAGAGAGGAGAAGAGCUCCUGGGAUUUGCAGAAGAAAGAGGCCUGGGGACAAAUAGAUGUCAUCACUGGGGCCCCAGGAAGACCUUAUCGGGCCUGUAGACUCUUCCUUUGGAGCCCUGGUCUUAGCAGUGUUGUUUUCUGGCCCUUGGCAGAUGGUUACUAUACCUGGGAGUUACUUGCCUCUGAAGGCCACUUCACCUUAGGAUGGCGGGUAGUUAAGUCUAGAGGAGUGAGAGAGCAGAUAAGUUCUCAGUUCAUGGGUGUUUGA
rnacentral:lncRNA from 1 species